rnacentral:lncRNA from 1 species
AUCUAUUUUUCAGUUAUUUUGUUCCGUCACUUUUCUACAUAGCAAUGCAGGAGGUUAAAAAUUAAGGCAAGAGAUCCAAAUAAACAAGCUAACGCAGCAAUAGAAGUCCAACAUAAAUGACAGCUUUAGUAGAAUGUCGUAUAUAAUUAUUAACACCUUAUUUAAGUACUUCCAUUAAAAGAAAAACCAGAUACAUCCAUAUAAAUAACAACAAAAAUUAAUACUUUUGGCUCUACACAUCCAAUCUCUUCAGAAACAAUUGCAAACAUCUGUGUGAAGUAUCAGUAUCAAUUAUACAGCGAGAAACAUAAAAUGCAGUCACCAUUUUCACCAAAGAAUGCGGUUUUAAUAACUUCUGCCACUAUCCAUCACCAAAAAAAACCAUUCUUGAAUCAGUUUAUAUAACGGUAACUACACAAAUCGAGUGUUCAUAAUUCAGAUACAUCAUCAUAAAUUCUACCGAUAUCCAAGCAGCACAUGUCCUUAAAAAAACAUCUCUUGUCCAAACAGACACAGAUAUAAAGCAUACAUUAAACAACGAGAAUUCAUGGCAUUCAACAAAAAAAACCAUCUAUCUCUUCAUAACCAAGAACAAAAUCAAGCUAUUACACGAUUAAUAAGUGGGCAAGAACAGAAUUCAGCAAAACCAUAUACUGCAUCAUCAUCAUAAGUCUAAUCCANUGCAGAUGAAAAAUUACGAGGUUGAGUUGAUAGAAAAGAAUGCAAAUGAUUUACUUACAAAGCCAUUUCCUAAAGAUCAAGAGCACGAUCUUGAAGUCCUCGUGAUUGAGACAUAUAUAACUAAAAAAAAGUUACAAGUUCAAACUGGAGAGAAUCGCUAAGUAAUUCUAGAACAAUUGGAUGAACACUUGACAGUUGACAUUGCUGAAAAAUACCCUGGAUUUCUACUUAUAUAACAUAGAUGGAAAAGGAAAAACAAGAGUAACAAUCCAGUUCAAUCAAAAAAAUACUAAGUUUAGUGAUCUCUAUAUUCAAGGAAUAAAAUAGAUAACAUAUAAAGAAAAAAAAGGCUAAUGUAAAUAUUAAAAUAUAAAGAACCCAGUCAAGUGUAGUAGCACAUGCUCGAUAAAGGCAUAGAGGUAAACCGUCAAGGGCCUGAUAACAACUUCGUCACAAACAUAAACAUGUCCAACAAGAAAACCACUUAUUUUAGGUAUAUAAAGUCAGUUUCAUAAAAGGAGAAACUAUAGGAUCUUCAUGAUAAGUUCAAGUUCAACUUGAUACAGGUUAAUUUACAUAUCAUUGGCUUUUUUAAUAAGCAGAAAGUGUCUUUUUGCAAUUGAACCUAAAUUUAAUCUUGAAGAUGUUAAAACCCAUUGAUAAAUCACUCUUAAGUAUAUCGUCAUCAUUUACAUGAUUACACCGUGUUACUGUCUCUAAAGUGUACACAUAGACCGAAAAAAGGGGAAGAAAACUUUGUGCUUUAUCCAUGUUCUUUUAACACUUAGGUAGAUCUUAUAACCCAAACAGAAACAAAACAAAUAUAGGAGUAAGUAAUUGAUUGCAUUUGUAGAUAUACCUUUAGGUUUCUUUCUUAAGUAUGUUUACAUAUAAAUCAAAUAACACGAGAAAAACUAAGGCCCUCUUUUUUUCCUUGAAUAUAAUGAGUUUCAACUUUUCUGCUUCAAACCGACAAAAAAUACAUUAAUAGGUAGUAAUUAUGGUCAUCAUUUUAGUAAUCUUUUUUCCCGCUAACCAAGCCAAAAUGUUUAUAAAUUCAUGUAUAAACUUAUUUACAGUUUAUAGUGGAAAGAUUCUGGGAUUUGAUCUAAUACUGUGCUUUGGAAGUACAGAUUAGCUCUUCCCACAUUCAAAUCAAAAGAUAUUUGCUCAUGUCCCUAAAUUAACCACUUAAUCUUAUCUAUUUUUCAGUUAUUUUGUUCCGUCACUUUUCUACAUAGCAAUGCAGGAGGUUAAAAAUUAAGGCAAGAGAUCCAAAUAAACAAGCUAACGCAGCAAUAGAAGUCCAACAUAAAUGACAGCUUUAGUAGAAUGUCGUAUAUAAUUAUUAACACCUUAUUUAAGUACUUCCAUUAAAAGAAAAACCAGAUACAUCCAUAUAAAUAACAACAAAAAUUAAUACUUUUGGCUCUACACAUCC